CACAUUAGAUGUGUUUAUUGUAGAUUUUAAAAUAUUCUAUAGUUCAUGAAAAAAAGUUGAGCUGUAGGAGCUAGGAAAAUAACUUUGUUGUGUGUAUCCACCAAGAUUAUACUCAAAAGUUCAUUCUGAAUUCGAAUGGAGGCUGUGCCCUACUCCCACAAACAAAUGCUAGUUCCUAAGCCUUCAGAUUCAGAAGCUUUACUUUUUAAUUUUUUUUGUCUUGGAAAUGUUAUUGUUUUUUUUAAAAAAAGGCUUUAUAUUUUAAGAGAAGUUUUAGGUUUACAGCAAAAUUGAGAGGAAGGAUCAGAGAUAUCGCCUUUGCCCUCUGCCACCACAUGUAUGGUUUCUCCCAUGGCAACAUACCCCCACACAGAGCAGAAGUAUUAUUUUAUCUUCUUUAGGAUGAAUUUGACUUCUAGGCACAUGUUUAAUAUUUUUUCUUUGCUAGGAAGUAACUGGUAAAGGAGUCUAUUCAUUAGUUCUUGUAAUAAGUUUGAGUUAUAACUAGGUGGUGCUCCUAUUAAUUCCAAAGUGAUAGCCUGUCUUGCUUGAGAAUAGAUGUGUUUAGCAGGCAAUUUUAGAAGAUGGAUUCAUUCUACACAGAUCAUCAGUACUAUCCAAGGACACAUUUUGUUGUGUUCUUGUGGUUUGGGAUGUUUAGGGGGGAAUCUGAAUUGUUAUGAGGGGAAGUUGGCCCUGAUAUCCUCAGAAGUUCCUUCCAACUCUUAGAUGCUAUGACUUUAUGAAAAUUUUAUUUUUGAAAUGCUGUAUUUCCAGUCAGUGAAAGUAGCAGGGUCCUUAUAUAAAUACAUAUAAGGAUACUCCAAGAUCUUGAAUUUAAAAAUGUUUACCCUUAAAUUUUUAAAAAUUAAAAUAAUUUUGCUUUCUACGUUUUGUACCUGUAGAAUUUACACCACGGUUCCACUCUCUCAACAUUUCCCAUGACAUGGAAUUCUUUAAUAUGAGACUUCAAGCAUAACUUUUGAGGUUCCAUUUAAUUCUUCUUUUCAAGAAUAACUGAUACUGUGUUCAGGAUGGGAUACAAAUGACUGAUAUUCUAAAAUGUAACUUUUUUUUACACUAUCUACCUGGAGAUAAAAAAUGUAACAAUUCUGAAUUCCCACAGACCCAUAAGUUAGCAGAGCAUGCAGUCAGUCUUGCCUUACAGUCUCUCUAUUGAUUUGCCUCAUAAUCCUUGGGCUUACUGGUGUCUCAUUGGUCAUUUCUGGUUGUUUUUGUCAUUCAUGAAUGCAGCCAGAAUUCAGCCCCUCCCACGCUUUUGAAGUCAGAGGACUUGGUAACCCCAGAACAUCAUUCCUUGUAUAUGUGGCUCCUGCUGUUACUGCCACAAAACUCCGUCUUCAUAGAGCCACUUGGUCUUAGUGUGGUUUUAUGUGGCUUAGAGGUGUAGUACCCAAUGCAUUCCAUGCCUCCCUGGAGCUCAGAGUCUUUGUCCAGUUGGUUUUAGCUCUAGGGAGAGGAACAAGUCUUGCCUUUCUCCUGUCUUCCAACUCUGUUUUCUGGCUCAGGACUAAUCUAAUGGGAUGAUUGAGAGGAAUGAUGCAUUUCCUGCAGACAAGUCCUUAUCCACUACCUCGAGAGAGUGGUCUGGCUUCUACGGACAUCACAAAAAUUGAUGUCAGAGUUUUCCUUCUUUCUCAGCACUCUAGAAUAGAUUAAAUAGUAAUAGAAGCAUCUGCAUGUUAAAGU
rnacentral:lncRNA from 1 species